rnacentral:tRNA from 1 species
GGACUAAUAGUUUAUAAAGAAUCAGAAAUUGCAAGUUUUUAGGAAGAUAAUUUAUCUUUAGUCUU